GCUUGAUCCCAGGACCCUGAGAUCAUGACCUGAGCCGAAGGCAGAGGCUUUAACCCACUGAGCCACCCAGGCGCCCCCCCAGAGUGUUUUUUAAAAACCAUGAUUCGCAUUUGUCUCAAGUACACAUACAUCCAUUGCAAGAGUUAAAUUAGACCACUGAUGUUAACACCUUGAAACUACGUAUGAUCUUUGUCACCU